rnacentral:lncRNA from 10 species
CCAUGGAUGACUUGCUUGGGUAUGGAGAGUCGGCUUGACUACACUGUGUGGAGCAAGUUUUAAAGAAGCAAAGGACUCAGAAUUCAUGAUUGAAGAAAUGCAGACCUGUUAUCCUAAACUAGGUGAGUCAGCUUUUGGUACAUGUGAUGAUUUUCAGUGUAACCAAUGAUGUAAUGAUUCUGCCAAAUGAAAUAUAAUGAUAUCACUGUAAAACCGUUCCAUUUUGAUUCUGAGGUUACUCUACUAACAAGCAUCACACAUUUGUAUUUUGCCCUGAUUAAUAUGUUGGCUUCGCUUUCAGGGUUUUUAAUGACCACAACAAGCAAGCAUGCAGCUUACUGCUUGAAAGGUGAGGAUUGGAAAUGUUGGGACUAUUAUAAUUGCAGAAUACAUGAUGAUCUCAAUCCAACUUGAACUCUCUCACUGAUUACUUGAUGACAAUAAAAUAUCUGAUAUUCUGCAUUCCCAUGUAGCAUUUUAAUUGAAGUCUGUAAAUGUGGCUAAAAGUCUUGUCUUAUUUUUUGAGACAGGGUCUUGCCUCACCCAAGCUAGAGUGCAGUGGCCUUUGAAGCUUACUACAGCCUCAAACUUCUGGGCUCAAGUGAUCCUCAGCCUCCCAGUGGUCUUUGUAGACUGCCUGAUGGAGUCUCAUGGCACAAGAAGAUUAAAACAGUGUCUCCAAUUUUAAUAAAUUUUUGCAAUCCAUCUGGAGUGUGUAGUGUUUACUUAAAAAAGGACAGUGCUUUUCAUCUGUUCAUUAGCUGUAAGCAUAAAUCACAUUCAAAAGCUAUUAUAACUCCAUGGUAUUUGCUUCAUUAACACUGCAGCCAGUUAAAAUUUUAUGGGUAUUUUACAAGGUGUCUUAUGCAUUAAAGUGCAAUAUUUCCUAAUUCUCCAUAUGAGCAAAUUGUCAGGUUUCAUAGGCCCCUGUGCUAAUUGGUUUUGAGCUUAAAGUAUUGAUGGAGCUACUUGGAGAAAGUCAUGUUGAGUCUGAGGCUGGGAAAAUAAGUUAUAGAAAAUACUAUAGAAAUGCCCAACUAGUGAUAGGCAUUAAUGGAAUUGGGAAAAUCUACAAUCCAUAGCCAUGGUGAUAGGUUUUUGGCAAGCACUAAGUGUUUAGGGAUGCCAAAAGUGGGUAUAAAGGGCACAACUGGUUUAAGGCAAUCUGUCCCAGGGAAACAGGACCAAGGGGCCAAAAUUCCAAGAUGGGUCAAAUUUUAAUUUCAGUGUCAGUACAGCUGUGCUUAUAAUGAUGUCUUUGUUAGCAGUAAUGGUUUUACAAAUCUGUUUCUGGGCUAAAGCACUUUAGUCCCAUUAAUGAUAAAACUUCAGUUACUCUCUGAAUUUUCCUUUUUUUGAGACUGAAUCCUGUUGCCCAGGCUGGAGUGCAAUGGCAUGAUCUCAACCGCUGCUCACUGCAACCUCUACCUCCCGGGUUCAAGCGAUUCUCUUCAGCCUCUUGUAGCUAGGACUAUAGGCACCUACCAUCACAACCAACUCAUUUUGGUAUUUUUAGUAGAGACGAAACCCCAUCCUCCCAAAGUGCUGGGAUUUCACAGGCCUGAGCCGCAGUGCCCGGCCUCCCAGGCCUUUUAUGCUUGAUGUUUUUUUCAGGGCCCUUCCCAUUGUCAUUUCACAAUCUCAUUGAAAUGUCAGCUUAUGCACUAAAUGCGUGUAAGUUGGGAAUGCCCAAUUUUGUCUAAGAAAAAAGGCCUCCCCCUCCCCCAAAUAAGCACAUUCUUUCAUUUCCUGGGGCUCACCCGAAUGUCUCACACAGGCUGUAAAACAACUACCACCACCUGGCUGGGUGCUGAGGUGGGCAGAUUACCUGAGGUCAGGAUUUCAAGACCAACCUGGCCAAUAUGGUGAAACCCCAUCUCUACUAAAAAUACAAAAAUCUAGCCGGGUGUAGUGGUGGGCUAUUGUAGUCCCAGCUAUUCGGGAGGCUGAGGCAGGGGAACUGAACCUGGGAGGCUGAGGUUGCAGUGACCCGUGAUCCUGCCACUGCACUCCAGCCUGGGUGCCAGGGUGAGACUUUCUCAAAGGAAAAAAGAAGGCUGGGCGUGGUGGUUCAUGCCUGUAAUCCCACCACUUUGGGAGGCCGAGGCGGGUGGAUCACACGGUCAGGAGUUUGAGACCAGCCUGACCAACAUAGUGAAACCCCCAUCUCUACUAAAAAUACAAAAGUUAGCCAGGUGUGGCGUGCACCUGUAAUCCCAGCUACUCAGGAGGCUGAGGCAGGAGAAUUGCUUGAACCUAGGAAGUGGAGGUUGCAGUGAACUGAGAUCAUGCCACCGCACUCCAGCCUGGGCAACGGCGAGACUUGGUCUCAAAAAAAAACACACACACAAAACUACCACCACCUACCCCAAUCGGUUACCCUUUACUUUUCAUGUGACCACCAUGACCUAUUAUGUGUUUUGUUCUUACUUCCCCCACAAGAAUGUAAGCGCUUCAAGUUUAUUCCUUAAUGUUGGAAAAAUGAAUGAAACUGCAAAUGUAGUAGAUCAGUUUUUGGGGAGGUACCAAAGACAAGUUGGUAAAAUACCUUGAUUUUGAAGUGAAAAACGAUGUUACAUUUCAAAGUAUCUUUUCGCCAGGUUAUGGCUCAGGCUUCGAGACCAGCCUGGCCAACAUGGCAAAACCCGGUCUCUACUGAAAAAAAGCGAAAAUUAGCCGGGUGUGGUAGUGUGGGCCUGUAGUCCCAGCUACUCUGAACCCUGGAGGUGGAGGUUGCAGUGAACCAAGAUCGUGCCACCUCACUCCAGCCUGGGCCUCCUAGGCUCAAGUGAUUGUUGUGCCUCAACUACCUGAGUAGCUGGGAUGACAGGUGUGUGCCACCACUCCCAGCUAAUUUUUUUUUCUGUAUUUUUAGUAGAGAUGGAGUUUCACCAUGUCAGCCAGGCUAGUCUUGAACUCCUGGCCUCAAGUGAUCCAACUGCCCUGCCCUCCCAAAGUGCUGGGAUUACAGGUGUGAGCCACUGCAUCCAGCCAAGUUCUAUUCUUUUUUUUUUUUUUUUUGAGACGGAGUUUCGCUCGUGUUGCCCAGGCUGGAAUGUAGCGGCGCAAUCUUGGCUCACUGCAACCUCCACCUCCCAGGUUCAAGCGAUUCUCCUGCCUCAGCCUUCCAAGUAGCUGGGAUUACAGGCGUGGGCCACCAUGCCUGGCUAUUUUUGUAUUUUUAGUAGAGAGGGGGUUUCACCACGUUGGCCAGGCUGGUCUCGAACUCCUGACCUCGUGAUCUGCCCACCUAGCCUCCCAAAGUGCUGGGAUUACAGGCGUGAGCCACCGCAUCCAGCUUCUUGUUCUCUCUUUUAUAUAUAAGUGCCAUUUGCUGAAUCAGAAAACUUUUUGACAAGCAUAUUAAAAGAUUUCAGUUGUAUGUAGUAGCUCAUGCCUGUAAUCCCAACACUUUGGGAAACCAAGGUGGGGGGAUUGCUUGAGUCCAGGAGUUCAAGACCGGCCUGGGCAACAUAGUGAGACCCUGUGUCUACAAUUAAAAAAAAAAAGAAAAAAAAAGUGAGCCGGGCAUGAUGGUGCAUGCCUGUAGUCCCAACCACUCAUGAGACUGAGGUGGGACGAUCGCUUGAGCCCAGGAGGUUGAGGAUGCAGUGAGCUGUGUCACACCACUGGAUUCCAGCCUGGGUGACAGGGUGAGAUGUUGUCUCAAAUAAAAUAUUAAAAAUUGGAUCACCUUAUUCAGCAUUCUGUUGUUUAGCAGUUUUGGAAUUUUAGUUGUUAGUAAAUCUUGACCUUGAGUACACGUUAUUUUGAUAUUCUGUGUGACAAAAUGGGAAGUAUGCAUGAAGCACAUCUGCCAUAAAGUAUGGAUGUCUAGAUUUUUUUUUCCCUAGAAAAAGUAGUUACAAUUGUUUGAGAUACAAGCUGAACUAGCUGCUUGUUUUCACAGAACAUUUUUAGUUUGAAAAAACCUGACAAAUUGAUUAUUCAUAUUUUAGGGGUAAUUUUGGCAGAGAUUUGCUCAAAAAAGAACAAGUCAGCUUGGAAAAAACUGAUGGCAUUUGUUGCCAAUGAUAAAACUCAAGCUUCCAAAUGAAACCUAAAAUUUUGGAAGGCUUGUAUACACUUCUGUGCCCUUAUAGCUUCCUCAGACUUAGACUUUUGUAAUGGGAUUGGUGGUAAUAUUAAUUAAUGGUAUUUUGUUUUAGAUAUUGUAUAUCAAAAUGUGUCAACAUUUGGAAGAUUUGCAUAACUCAGUGAACCAAUAUUUUCCAAAUGAUCAAUCACUGGACUGGUGUUACAAAUAUCACACAUAGGUAAAAGUUCUAUUUAAAUACAAGGUACACCAAUGGACUUUAGAAAAGCUCAUCAAUACGAUUUCAGAAUCCACAUUGCAACUAGCCUUUAAGGAACUCUACUACUUGUCAUAUUUUGGUGUGGUAUCAAAGAGAGUAUCCAUAAUUAUCAGACAAAGCUAUUAAAAUACUCCUCCCUUUUCCAACUUUAUAUAUGAGUGGGGUCAGAUUUUCUUCACAGACUUCAACCAAAACAGCAUAUAACAACAGAUAGGAUACAGAAGCAGAUAUCAGAAUCUAGUGUCUUCUAUUAAGCCAGAAAUAAAAAAUAUUUGCAGAAAUAUAAAACAAUGUUACUCUUCUAUUUUUUUUUUGAAAAUAAUUAUUUUUAAAAUAAAAACAUGGCUGAGUGUGGUGGCUCACGCCUUUGUAAUCCCAGAACUUUGGGAGGCUGAGGCAGGCGGAUCACCUGAGGCCAGGAGCUUGAGACCAGCCUGGUCAACAUGGCAAAACCUCGUCUCUACUAAAAAUACAAAAAUUAACCAGGUGUGGUGGAGGGCACCUGUGGUCCCAACUACUCAGGAGGCUGAGGCAGGAAAACUGCCUGAACCCGGGAGGUGGAGGAUGAAGUGAGCCAAGAUCGCACCAUUGCACUCCAGCCUGGGCAACAGAGUGAGACUCUGUCUCAAAAUAAAAUAAAAUAAAAACAUGCUAUUUGUGUUAACAUGUAAUGGGUUAUUUUAAAAUGAAUUUAACAUUUUAAACUAAAUCAUUAAAUCAAUUAUUAAUUAAUUAAAUAGGAGGCUGAGGCAGGAGAAUCACUUGAACCCAGGAGGUGGAGGUUGCAGUGAGCCAAGAUGGUGCCACUGCACUCUAACCUGGGCAAAAGAGCGAGACUCUGUCUCAAAAAAAAAAAAGGUAUAAAUCAAAAGAAUUUCAAGGCAGAAGUGAAGACUGAGUAGAAGAAAACAAUUUCAAAAUCACUGAUCAAGACCUUGUUCUCAUUUUGUCUUUUUUUGAAAUGGAGUCUUGUUCUGU